UUCAAGUUGAUUGUUUCUAUACAGUUUUAAGGGGGUUUUAUUUAUUUAUUCUAUAAUAUUUCUAUGCGAUAAAUCUCUCCUUUCGCUAUACUGCGUCUGGCACACAGAGACGUCGCCGCUAAAGGCUCUGCUGAGGUCGUAGAUGGCUAUUUCUUUCCCUCAGUGCCAAGGGUAUCCAACAAAAAAUACCAAGAGAGUCCCAGAAAACUGAAAAGGAAAAGUGAACUGCUGAGGACCAGGACUGCGGGGAAAGAUACGCAGAGUGCCACAUCUGCCUUUUGGGACGUGGUUCAGGUUGUUAAGCAAAAGUCACGUUGGGCGCCAAUCCCAAGGUUAAGUGGCAGAAAGCUCCAGCAAACAAAACAAGUCCAAGUCGGAAGAUAAACCCCAGAAAGAUCCUACGAAGCAUGGCCAGCGGCACGAUGGGAGGAGGUGUCGGUGCCCCUCUGGAGAGAGAAUUUCGAACAGGUAAUCAUGUGUCUCCAAGGCUCCCCUGUUUGCAGUUUAAAUGUUGACAAUCUGUUUAACAAAUCUGCCAGCCAAAUGGAACAGAUUGCAAAAUACAACAGAAAAAUCAAUUUAUUGCUUGGGGUGGCGUUUUCUUUUUUUUU